AAGGCGAAAAUGAUCAACGUGAUCUCAUAAUUCGUAGGCUAUGUAUUUUAGGCUACGUAAAAUGUGGUUCUAUAAAACAUACAUUUACUUACGUUUUUACAGGUACUAAAACGUACAAUAUUGAGGUAUUUUCAGCAUCUAAACGUGCAAAUACUUAGGCCAUGUAUUUUCAGCGUUUAAGCGUUUAUUAUUAGUUGUCAUAUCAAUUACCUUGUUUUCAAUUGCAUUAUUAAAUUGUUUACUCGUUUAAUUAAUAUGAAGUGAUAAAUUUUUUUUUGUUUUGAUUUCUGCUGCCAGCUCGUUUCCAAGAAUAGGCCUACCUAAUGUUAAACAGAAUUCACUUUAAACCUUAAAAUGAAUAACAUUUCUGCAGUCGUUUAACCUUUGUCAUGUAAUGUUUACUUUGUUUGCCAUGGGCCACAAAAGGUGUUUCCUCGACAUGCUGUGAACAGAGGCGUGUCUACGUGGUGGCCAGGGGUGGCACCGGCCCCCCCUGAAAUUUGGCUGGCCACCCCAGGUGCCCCCAACCAGAUGUCUUGCGAUAGACUUGUUUUUAGUAAAUUUCUAACUGCAUCUGGCAGUGGCGGAUCCUGGCAUGUGUAGCUGCCUAGGGGCGCUUUCUUCUCCUCUUUAUACUUAAUUUUAGGCGGUUUCUAUAGCGUGAUAUUUGACAGAUAUCGAGAGCGCAUAAUGUUACGUGAUCCAUGUAAUGCGCGAGCACGAAUCUCCACUCGCAAGUGGAUUUCCUUCACUCACACAAAACUGGAAUUGGCUCUGCUUUUGCUCAGAGAUUACGUGUAUGCUCAAACGUUCUUGCAUCACUGAAGACUAGAAGCGCUUUUUUUCUAAUUCAGAUGAGGAGUAGGCUUAUCUCAUUAAAUGGAAGCAAGCUGAUUAUAGUCAGCCUUAGUUAUUUAUUUUAUUAAUAGCCUUCUUAUUUUAGUUAAGUGCUUAACUUAUAAAUAUGCAUUUAUUCAAUUGUUUUAUUAAGUGCAUUUGUAUUUUGUUGUUUUUGUAUAUAGUUUUGCAAUAAAAGCGUAUUAACCAGGUUCCCUCUACA
ensembl:lncRNA